AAAAAAGAACCGCUUUUAGCGGAGUGAAAUAGUACCUGAAACCAUAAGCCUACAAUGUGUUGAAGCCACGUAAGUGGUGACAGCUUGCCUUUUGCAUAAUGAGUCUGCGAGUUAUUGUCAGUGGCCAGCCUAAGCUUCUUUGAGGCGGAGGCGAAGCGAAAGCGAGUGCGAAUAGCGCGUCUAGUCGCUGGCAAUAGACCCGAAGCGGAGGUGAUCUACUCUUGAGCAGGUUGAAGCUGCAGUAACAUGCAGUGAAGGACCGAACUCGUGAAUGUUGAAAAAUUCUGAGAUGACUUGAGAGUAGGAGCGAAAGACUAAUCAAACCCCGUGAUAGCUGGUUCUCUCCGAAAUCGCUUGGGGGCGAGUGUUGAGAAAGUACUCUGAGAGGUAGAGCACUGAAUGGCUUAGGGGCCCCACCAGGCUGCCAAAACCAAUCAAACUCCGAAUACUCAGAUCCCAUUAUCUCAGCAAUCAGACUGUGGGGGAUAAGCUUCAUGGUCGAGAGGGCAACAGCCCAGACCGCCAGCUAAGGUGCCUAAAUGUGAUUAAGUGGAAAGGAUGUGACGUUGCUUAGACAGUGAGGAUGUUGGCUUAGAGGCAGCCAUCAUUUAAACAGUGCGUAAUAGCUGACUCGUCGAGCGAUGUCGCGCCGAAAAUGAUUGGCGAUUAAAUUACAUACCGAAGCUGCGGAUUUGUGAGGUCUUUGGACCGCAUAAGUGGUAGGAGAGCGUAAUCGAUGCUGCGAAGCUGGACGGAAACGGAAAGUGGAGCGUCGAUUAGUGAGAAUGCAGACACGAGUAGCGAUAAACAAGGUGAGAAUCCUUGUCGCCGUAAACCCAAGGUUUCCUGGGCUAGGUUCGUCCUCCCAGGGUUAGCCGGGAGCUAAGAUGAGGCCGUAAGGCGUAAUCGAUGCACAGCAGGUUAAACAUUCCUGCGCCGGGUAAGAAUUAGUGAAAGAUUGACGCAACAAUACAUAUCAACACGCUCAUUGAAAGAGCAAGCCUAGGUCUUUGACCAAAGCAAGUUGGUGGGUUAAUUGCCUAGAAAAGAUUUUUCAUAUGUCUUACUCGCCCGUACCGUAAACCGACACAGGUGGGUGAGUGUAAAUGCACUAAGGCGCGCGAGAGAGACCUCUCUAAGGAACUCGGCACAUUAGCCUCGUAACUUCGGGAAAAGAGGUGCUCACUUCGGUGAGCCACAGUAAAUUGCGUUUAGCGACUGUUUAACAAAAACACAGCACUCUGCUAAGUCGUUAAGACGACGUAUAGGGUGUGACACGUGACCAAUGCGGAAAGAUUAAGGCAUUUUGUUAGCCGCAAGGCGAAGCUCGGUGCCAAAGUCCCCGUGAAUGUCGGCCGUAACUAUAACGGUCCUAAGGUAGCGAAAUUCCUUGUCGGGUAAGUUCCGACCUGCACGAAUCGUGUAACGACUGAACGACUGUCUCGGAGAGGAUCUCGGCGAAACUGUAACUGCGGUGAAGAUGCCGCAUGCCCGCAGUAGGACGGAAAGACCCUAUGCACCUUUACUGUAAGCUGGUAUUGUGUUCUGAUUAAUAAUGCGUAGCGUAGGUGGGAGGCUUCGAAGUGAGUGCUUCGGUGCUCAUGGAGCCGCAAUGUGAAACACCACUCUUUGCUAAUUAGGAUUCUAACCUCGAUUCCUGUCAACCAGGCGAGGGACAGUGCUUGCAGGUCAGUUUGACUGGGGCGGUUUCCUCCCAAUG
rnacentral:rRNA from 1 species